GGCAACAUAACCUCUGCCUUCUUUAUUCAGCUCUUUUUUUAGUUAAAUCAAACAAUUGUCUUACCAUGGUUAACUCCCAUUUUCCCAUCUCGUCUCGUCACUUAAGGAGUGCUGCAGUCCAUCUUCACAGGAAUUGUUGGACUAAUAAUCGGUAGUUUCAGGAUCCUGCUCUGUGUGUUUUCCCACCAUAUGCUGCCCCAUAGUGUGUUCCCAUAGUGUCACCUCGGUCCAGCUUGUUUUCUAGUGUUUGACUUUUGCCUUUGCCUGCUCCAUUGGAUUCUGUUUGCCUUAUGGACUGUACCAACCUGGACUGUUAUUUAAACCUUGUCUUUUAUCACACCUUCCUGAGUGAGCAUGUGUUUGGGUCCAUUUAUCUGUUGAGUUGUGUCAGUCAUGACUUUCAAAAAUGUGAAUAACGUUCAACAAUAAAAAAUCAAAUCGUU